GAUGAACGCUGGCGGCGUGCCUAAUACAUGCAAGUCGAGCGAAUGGAUUAAGAGCUUGCUCUUAUGAAGUUAGCGGCGGACGGGUGAGUAACACGUGGGUAACCUGCCCAUAAGACUGGGAUAACUCCGGGAAACCGGGGCUAAUACCGGAUAACAUUUUGAACCGCAUAGUUCGAAAUUGAAAGGCGGCUUCGGCUGUCACUUAUGGAUGGACCCGCGUCGCAUUAGCUAGUUGGUGAGGUAACGGCUCACCAAGGCAACGAUGCGUAGCCGGCCUGUGAGGGUGAUCGGCCACGCUGGGACUGGGAAACGGCCCAGACUCCUACGGGAGGCAGCAGUAGGGAAUCUUCCGCAAUGGACGAAAGUCUGACGGAGCAACGCCGCGUAAGUGAUGAAGGCUUUCGGGUCGUAAAACUCUGUUGUUAGGGAAGAACAAGUGCUAGUUGAAUAAGCUGGCACCUUGACGGUACCUAACCAGAAAGCCACGGCUAACUACGUGCCAGCAGCCGCCGUAA
rnacentral:rRNA from 1 species